rnacentral:lncRNA from 1 species
UGUGGCAUAUUUUAACGCUGCUAUGCUUGAGGUCUGCGACUUCAAUAAGUCCGUCACUAAAUCGAUAAUGAAGCGAGGACUUAAAAAUGAAUGCCUUAUUUUCUCUCUCAACAAUAACUUUUCAAGAGAUUACACCAACCUUCUAGUUCGAGCAUGUAAAUAUGCUUAAGCUGAGGAAGGUGAAAUCCAUCUCCAAGAAGAAGAAGGGAGGAAGAAUGGCGGGAAUAAAAGGCCCCACGAUAAUGAUC